rnacentral:rRNA from 1 species
CCUACGGGAGGCAGCAGUGAGGAAUAUUGGUCAAUGGGCGCGAGCCUGAACCAGCCAAGUAGCGUGAAGGAUGACCGCCCUACGGGUUGUAAACUUCUUUUAUAAAGGAAUAAAGUGAGGCACGUGUGCCUUUUUGUAUGUACUUUAUGAAUAAGGAUCGGCUAACUCCGUGCCAGCAGCCGCGGUAAUACGGAGGAUCCGAGCGUUAUCCGGAUUUACUGGGUGUAAAGGGAGCGUAGACGGCAGUGCAAGUCUGGAGUGAAAGGCGG